UACGAGGGGGGCAAGCGUUGUUCGGAAUUAUUGGGCGUAAAGGGCGCGUAGGCGGUUUGACAAGUCUGAUGUGAAAUCUAUGGGCUCAACCCAUAGCCUGCAUUAGAAACUGUCGGGCUUGAGUACGGGAGAGGUGAGUGGAAUUUCCGGUGUAGCGGUGAAAUGCGUAGAUAUCGGAAGGAACACCUGUGGCGAAAGCGGCUCACUGGACCAUAACUGACGCUGAGGCGCGAAAGCUAGGGGAGCAAACAGG
rnacentral:rRNA from 1 species